AUGGAAUUGGUUCAGACUGCUCACAAACGGAAGUUGCAUGUUAUUGCUUUAAAGCUGGGCUUUCAAAAAGCUUUUGACAUAGUUAGUUGGAGCUACCUUUUUAAGAUUCUUGAAGCUAGGGGUUUCCCACGGAUGUGGAUACAGUGGAUCUCCUCUCUUCUGUCCACAGGCAGAUCAAGAGUUCUAAUGAACGGAGAGCUGGGUGAUACCAUCUCUGCUAAAAAGGACUUCUGUCAGGGGGACUCUCUGUCCCCAUAUCUUUUUAUCUUGGUGGCUGACGUUCUUCAAAGGCUAUGCUGCUUGCACUUCCAGGCUGGUAGCUUGCUGCACCCCUUGGCUCGGACGUUUUAUUUCCGGUGCUGCAAUAUGCGGAUGACAUUCUGCUUAUUUUUCGUGGAGAUCUUCAGCAAGCACAGGCCGUCAAAAACAUCGUAA
rnacentral:rRNA from 1 species